UACGGAGGGUGCAAGCGUUAUCCGGAAUCACUGGGCGUAAAGGGCGCGUAGGUGGUCUGUUAAGUCUGGCGUUAAAGCCUGGGGCUCAACCCCAGAUCAGCGUUGGAUACUGGCAGGCUAGACGGUUGGAGAGGCGAGUGGAAUUACCAGUGUAGCGGUGGAAUGCGUAGAUACUGGUAGGAACACCCAUUGCGAAGGCAGCUCGCUGGACAACACGUGACACUGAGGCGCAAAAGUGUGGGGAGCAAACCGGAUUAGAUACCCCGGUAGU
rnacentral:rRNA from 1 species